rnacentral:misc_RNA from 1 species
UACGGAGGGGGCUAGCGUUGUUCGGAAUUACUGGGCGUAAAACGCGCGUAGGCGGACUUUCAAGUCAGGGGCGAAAUCCCGAGGCUUAACCUCGGAACUGCCUUUGAUACUGUUGGUCUUGAGUCCGGGAGUGGUGAGCGGAAUUCCUAGUGUACAGGUGAAAUUCGUAGAUAUUAGGAAGAACACCAGUGGCGAAGGCGGCUCAUUGGCCCGGUACUGACGCUGAGGCGCGAAAGCGUGGGGAGCAAACAGG